rfam:Fonticula alba strain ATCC 38817 mitochondrial scaffold supercont2.214, whole genome shotgun sequence.
GUGGGUAUGGUGGAAUUGGUAGACACGCUUGUCUUAGAAACAAGUGAAUUUAUUUUCUUAUGGGUUCGAGUCCCAUUAUCCAUA